rnacentral:rRNA from 1 species
UACGGGGGGGGCAAGCGUUGUUCGGAAUUACUGGGCGUAAAGGGCUCGUAGGCGGCCAACUAAGUCAGACGUGAAAUCCCUCGGCUUAACCGGGGAACUGCGUCUGAUACUGGAUGGCUUGAGUUUGGGAGAGGGAUGCGGAAUUCCAGGUGUAGCGGUGAAAUGCGUAGAUAUCUGGAGGAACACCGGUGGCGAAGGCAGGUCUCUGGGCAUUAACUGACGCUGAGGAGCGAAAGCAUGGGGAGCGAACAGG